CUUCUGCCACGUCUGCAUUUCGGGGACCCGGAUGCCGCGCAUGCGCCUCUUUCAUCUUCCCAUCAUGGCCGCCGCCUGUGCGCCUCUGCUGAGUCACCCUGCACUCAUUGGAUCAGCUGACUACCUAGACCAGUAACCUGGCUCAAUCAGUUCUGCCAUUCCACCCAGGAACAGAAAACAGCAAGAAAACCUCACUUUGACUCCCUGUGAUUCCGUCUUCAACCUGACCAAUCAGCACUCCCCGCUUCCCAAGCUCCUACUCGCCAAAUUAUCUUUAAGAACUCUGAUCCUCAAAUGCUCAGGGAGACUAAUUUGUGUAAUAAUAAAACUCUGGUCUCCCACACAGCUGGCUCUG
rnacentral:lncRNA from 1 species